CCAGCAGCNCCGGUAAUACGUGGGGAGUGUACGUUAUCCGGAAUUAUUGGGCGUAAAGCGCGCGUAGGCGGUUUUUUAAGUCUGAUGUGAAAGCCCACGGCCCUUCUGUGGAGGGUCAUUGGAAACUGGAAAACUUGAGUGCAGCAUAGGAAAGUGGAAUUCCAUGUGUAGCGGUGAAAUGCGCAGAGAUAUGGAGGAACACCAGUGGCGAAGGCGACUUUCUGGUCUGUAACUGACGCUGAUGUGCGAAAGCGUGGGGAUCAAACAGGAUUAGAUACCCUGGUA
rnacentral:rRNA from 1 species